GCUCUCUGGCUGGGGUCCUCCUGCCGCCCGCCGGCCUGCUCCCUUCGGGGCAAGUCCUGCUUCUUAGGCUCUCCUUUCACACACGCGCGCGCUCGCUGGGCCGUCCCCUCCUCUCCGGCCCUCCUCCUCCUGGUCCUUGCUAAGGCUGCCGUCGGGGAGGAUUGAUGUCCCUUCAGCAUCAUGCAGCCGCCGCCGAGGAAGGUGAAAGUUACCCAAGAACUGAAAAACAUUCAAGUUGAGCAGAUGACAAAACUUCAAGCCAAACAUCAAGCAGAAUGUGAUUUGCUUGAAGAUAUGAGGACAUUCAGUCAGAAGAAGGCUGCUAUUGAAAGAGAGUAUGCACAGGUAAGC